rnacentral:lncRNA from 1 species
AUGCCGAGUGGACGCUCCAAAGUUUGACCACCUGAAACUGAAGAAAAUUCCACCAACAUUUUAGCCUUCUUGGAAGAGUUGGGGAAAAGGCUCAGCCUCGGCUCUACCCAUUCAGGCAGAAUGACUAAUAGGAUGGGCCCAUCUUACCCACGAAUGCCUCAGAAGCGAAAGUAAAUCAGGCUCUGCCUUCUCUUCCCAGCCCUGCGGGCCCCUGCCUGCCCUCAGGUCUUUCCACAAAAUACAGAGCAAAUUGUAAAAUGAUGUGCUGAACUCUGAGCAAUAGGAGAAGAGUGAUCCAUCGUCGGAGCUGACCAGAGAGAAGGAGGGAGUUUACUGGGCUUCUGCGGGUGAUACCCAAGUAAGGCCAUAGUUAAAUCCACAGUCCCAGCCUUUUGCAUCUUUGUCUAAGGUUUUUCCCACUUAUUUACAGGAAUAGUUAAGUUCAACUUUUUUUGCUUUGUGUAUUAAAAAAUUUUAAUUGGCAAAUAAUAAUUGCAUAUACUUAGGGAGUCUAAUGUGAUAUUUUGACCUAUGUAUACAUUGUGGAAUGAUUAAAUCUUGCUAAUUAACAUGUCUGUCAUCUCACAUGUUUAUCAUCUUUUGUGAUGAGAACAUUUGAAUUUUACUUAUUUUUAGCAAUUUUGAAAUAUGCAAUGAGUUAUUAUUAACUAUA